GGGGGAUGUUGCGCAAUGGGGGAAACCCUGACGCAGCGACGCCGCGUGAAGGAUGAAGGUUUUCGGAUCGUAAACUUCUUUGACCGGGGACGAAGAAAUGACGGUACCCGGGGAACAAGCCACGGCUAACUACGUGCCAGCAGCCGCGGUAAUACGUAGGUGGCGAGCGUUGUCCGGAUUUACUGGGUGUAAAGGGCGCGUAGGCGGGGCGGCAAGUCCGAUGUGAAAUCCCGCGGCUCAACCGGGGAACCGCAUCGGAAACUGUCGUCCUUGAGUAUCGGAGGGGAAAGCGGAAUUCCUAGUGUAGCGGUGAAAUGCGUAGAUAUUAGGAGGAACACCGGUGGCGAAGGCGGCUUUCUGGCCGAAAACUGACGCUGAGGCGCGAAAGCGUGGGGAGCAAAC
rnacentral:rRNA from 1 species